GACGAACGCUGGCGGCGUGCUUAACACAUGCAAGUCGAACGGAAAGGCCCGGCGUUGGUGGGGUGCUCGAGUGGCGAAAGGGUGAGUAACAAGUGAGUAACCUGCCCUUGACUUUGGGAUAACUUCAGGAAACUGGGGCUAAUACGGGAAAGGAGCUCCUGCGGCAGAGUGGGGGUAGGAAAGUUUCGGCGGUUGGGGUUGGACUCGCGGCUUAUCAGCUUGUUGGUGGGGUGGUGGCUUACCAAGGCUUUGACGGGUAGCCGGCCUGAGAGGGUGACCGGCCACAUUGGGACUGAGAUACGGCCCAGACUCCUACGGGAGGCAGCAGUGGGGAAUAUUGCACAAUGGGCGGAAGCCUGAUGCAGCAACGCCGCGUGCGGGAUGACGGCCUUCGGGUUGUAAACCGCUUUCGCCUGUGACGAAGCGUGAGUGACGGUAAUGGGUAAAGAAGCACCGGCUAACUACGUG
rnacentral:rRNA from 1 species